rnacentral:rRNA from 1 species
UUAAGCGACUAAGCGUACACGGUGGAUGCCCUGGCAGUCAGAGGCGAUGAAGGACGUGCUAAUCUGCGAUAAGCGUCGGUAAGGUGAUAUGAACCGUUAUAACCGGCGAUUUCCGAAUGGGGAAACCCAGUGUGAUUCGUCACACUAUCAUUAACUGAAUCCAUAGGUUAAUGAGGCGAACCGGGGGAACUGAAACAUCUAAGUACCCCGAGGAAAAGAAAUCAACCGAGAUUCCCCCAGUAGCGGCGAGCGAACGGGGAGCAGCCCAGAGCCUGAAUCAGUGUGUGUGUUAGUGGAAGCGUCUGGAAAGGCGCGCGAUACAGGGUGACAGCCCCGUACACAAAAAUGCACAUGCUGUGAGCUCGAUGAGUAGGGCGGGACACGUGGUAUCCUGUCUGAAUAUGGGGGGACCAUCCUCCAAGGCUAAAUACUCCUGACUGACCGAUAGUGAACCAGUACCGUGAGGGAAAGGCGAAAAGAACCCCGGCGAGGGGAGUGAAAAAGAACCUGAAACCGUGUACGUACAAGCAGUGGGAGCCUCUUUUAUGGGGUGACUGCGUACCUUUUGUAUAAUGGGUCAGCGACUUAUAUUCUGUAGCAAGGUUAACCGAAUAGGGGAGCCGAAGGGAAACCGAGUCUUAACUGGGCGUUAAGUUGCAGGGUAUAGACCCGAAACCCGGUGAUCUAGCCAUGGGCAGGUUGAAGGUUGGGUAACACUAACUGGAGGACCGAACCGACUAAUGUUGAAAAAUUAGCGGAUGACUUGUGGCUGGGGGUGAAAGGCCAAUCAAACCGGGAGAUAGCUGGUUCUCCCCGAAAGCUAUUUAGGUAGCGCCUCGUGAAUUCAUCUCCGGGGGUAGAGCACUGUUUCGGCAAGGGGGUCAUCCCGACUUACCAACCCGAUGCAAACUGCGAAUACCGGAGAAUGUUAUCACGGGAGACACACGGCGGGUGCUAACGUCCGUCGUGAAGAGGGAAACAACCCAGACCGCCAGCUAAGGUCCCAAAGUCAUGGUUAAGUGGGAAACGAUGUGGGAAGGCCCAGACAGCCAGGAUGUUGGCUUAGAAGCAGCCAUCAUUUAAAGAAAGCGUAAUAGCUCACUGGUCGAGUCGGCCUGCGCGGAAGAUGUAACGGGGCUAAACCAUGCACCGAAGCUGCGGCAGCGACACUAUGUGUUGUUGGGUAGGGGAGCGUUCUGUAAGCCUGUGAAGGUGUGCUGUGAGGCAUGCUGGAGGUAUCAGAAGUGCGAAUGCUGACAUAAGUAACGAUAAAGCGGGUGAAAAGCCCGCUCGCCGGAAGACCAAGGGUUCCUGUCCAACGUUAAUCGGGGCAGGGUGAGUCGACCCCUAAGGCGAGGCCGAAAGGCGUAGUCGAUGGGAAACAGGUUAAUAUUCCUGUACUUGGUGUUACUGCGAAGGGGGGACGGAGAAGGCUAUGUUGGCCGGGCGACGGUUGUCCCGGUUUAAGCGUGUAGGCUGGUUUUCCAGGCAAAUCCGGAAAAUCAAGGCUGAGGCGUGAUGACGAGGCACUACGGUGCUGAAGCAACAAAUGCCCUGCUUCCAGGAAAAGCCUCUAAGCAUCAGGUAACAUCAAAUCGUACCCCAAACCGACACAGGUGGUCAGGUAGAGAAUACCAAGGCGCUUGAGAGAACUCGGGUGAAGGAACUAGGCAAAAUGGUGCCGUAACUUCGGGAGAAGGCACGCUGAUAUGUAGGUGAAGUCCCUCGCGGAUGGAGCUGAAAUCAGUCGAAGAUACCAGCUGGCUGCAACUGUUUAUUAAAAACACAGCACUGUGCAAACACGAAAGUGGACGUAUACGGUGUGACGCCUGCCCGGUGCCGGAAGGUUAAUUGAUGGGGUUAGCGCAAGCGAAGCUCUUGAUCGAAGCCCCGGUAAACGGCGGCCGUAACUAUAACGGUCCUAAGGUAGCGAAAUUCCUUGUCGGGUAAGUUCCGACCUGCACGAAUGGCGUAAUGAUGGCCAGGCUGUCUCCACCCGAGACUCAGUGAAAUUGAACUCGCUGUGAAGAUGCAGUGUACCCGCGGCAAGACGGAAAGACCCCGUGAACCUUUACUAUAGCUUGACACUGAACAUUGAGCCUUGAUGUGUAGGAUAGGUGGGAGGCUUAGAAGUGUGGACGCCAGUCUGCAUGGAGCCGACCUUGAAAUACCACCCUUUAAUGUUUGAUGUUCUAACGUUGACCCGUAAUCCGGGUUGCGGACAGUGUCUGGUGGGUAGUUUGACUGGGGCGGUCUCCUCCUAAAGAGUAACGGAGGAGCACGAAGGUUGGCUAAUCCUGGUCGGACAUCAGGAGGUUAGUGCAAUGGCAUAAGCCAGCUUGACUGCGAGCGUGACGGCGCGAGCAGGUGCGAAAGCAGGUCAUAGUGAUCCGGUGGUUCUGAAUGGAAGGGCCAUCGCUCAACGGAUAAAAGGUACUCCGGGGAUAACAGGCUGAUACCGCCCAAGAGUUCAUAUCGACGGCGGUGUUUGGCACCUCGAUGUCGGCUCAUCACAUCCUGGGGCUGAAGUAGGUCCCAAGGGUAUGGCUGUUCGCCAUUUAAAGUGGUACGCGAGCUGGGUUUAGAACGUCGUGAGACAGUUCGGUCCCUAUCUGCCGUGGGCGCUGGAGAACUGAGGGGGGCUGCUCCUAGUACGAGAGGACCGGAGUGGACGCAUCACUGGUGUUCGGGUUGUCAUGCCAAUGGCACUGCCCGGUAGCUAAAUGCGGAAGAGAUAAGUGCUGAAAGCAUCUAAGCACGAAACUUGCCCCGAGAUGAGUUCUCCCUGACUCCUUGAGAGUCCUGAAGGAACGUUGAAGACGACGACGUUGAUAGGCCGGGUGUGUAAGCGCAGCGAUGCGUUGAGCUAACCGGUACUAAUGAACCGUGAGGCUUAACCUU